UUUACACUCCUCACUCUCAUCCCAACCUAUAUACCCGAAAGACCUUAUUUUUUCCCCCUAAAAAUUUUCCCCAAAUCUUCCCCAAAUCAGAAUCCCUCCUCUGCUGCAUCGCCCUCCUCCACUCGACCAUCUGCUGCAUUGCCGUCGAGUGUCCCUUCUGCUGCGUUGCCAUUGUAAUCCUCUGCUGCAACCAAUCGUGAUUAUCUGUUUAAGCUUUUGCUUAUUGGUGAUUCUGGUGUUGGGAAAUCAUGUCUACUUUUGAGGUUUGAUGAUGAUUCAUAUCUGGAUAGUUACAUCAGUACCAUUGGUGUUAGCUUUAUUUGCAUUUGGCUGGCAAAACAAGUGUGAUUCCAAUUUGGCUGGAGGAAUUCCUGCUCAGCUGGCAAAUUUGUUAGCUUUCAUACACUAAAGCAUUGCACAAAAAGCAUAGAUAACCAGAAGACUUCAAGAACUACGAAAUGGAACGGUCUUGGAUGAAUUUGUCAAGGGUAAGCAACGACUAUCGAAAUAGAGUACAAACUUUUCUAAAUUUUGCAUUUCUAAAUGCAAGCCAAGAGAAUAUGAUUAUUUGCCCGUGUAAGAAGUGUGGCAACAUCAAUUGGCAUUUCCGUGAAGUUUUCUAUGAACAUCUAAUUGUUGAUGGGUUUAUUCGGGGGUAUAAAAAUUGGAUUUUCCAUGGAGAGUGCACAUAUAGUAGAACCUCUUCAACGAUUAAUCCGACUUAUUCUCAUAGUGCUUACCAUCAGUCUGUUAGAGAAGAUGACAUGGAAGGUAUGUUGCGGGAUGCAUUUAACAUGCGCAGUCAUGGUUUGUAAUCGUUUCCACCCGAUUUUGUUGCAUUCGAUGAUUGUAAUCUUGGUGAAAAUGUUUUUAUCGAAAUGAGAAGAAGUGUACCUGAUGAAGAGCCAAAUAGCGACAAAAUUUUACACGUUACUUAAUGAAAUGAAUGAAGAACUUUAUGAGGGAUCAAAAUUUUCAAAAAUGUUCUUUUGUAUUCGUUUUUUUAGUUAAAGUGUUUGGAAGGGUGGACCGGAAACUCUUUGACAAUACUGUUAGAGUUUUUGAGAGAUGUUUCUGUUUGCAAAAAUCCCUCAUUCAUGCAAAGAUAUGAAGAAACUGAUAAAAGAUUUAGGCAUUGGGUACAACAAAAUUUAUAGUUGCCUUAAUGACCGCAUGUUGUAUUGGGGUGAUCGGAAAAACCAAUAGUCUUGUCAUGUAUGCGGUAAGUCUCGCUGGAUGAAUAGAAAUACAGAAGAUGUGAAUGAGGAUGAAUAUGAUGCACAGUCAAGAAAGAAGCCAAUUAAGAUUUUGCGGUAUUUUUCGCUAAUACCAAGGCUUCAAAGGCUUUUCAUGUCGUCGAAGACAGCCGAGUCUAUGACGUGGCAUCAUGAUGGACGAAUUGAUGAUGGAUUAUUAAGGCAUCCUGUAGAUUCUUUAGCUUGGGAAUCAUUUGACAGUAAAUUUUUAAACUUUGCAAGUGAUCCUCAGAGUGUGAGGCUUGAGCUAGCAUUUGAUGGAUUUAAUCCUUAUAAAAUCAUGAGCACUUCGUACAGUACUUGGCCUGUAGUGCUUGUUUCUUACAAUUUGCCUCCAUUAAUUUGCAUGAAGCAAUCUUCUUUAAUCUUAUUUAUGAUUAUCUCUGGCGAGAAAGGUCCCGGAAAUGAUAUUGACAUUUAUUUGCAGCCACUUAUUGAAGAGUUAAAACAAUUAUGGGCGGGUAUUGAAACAUAUGAUGUAUUGAGAAAGGAGAACUUUAAUUUACAUGUAGCUUUGUUGUGGACUAUUAAUGACUUCUCGACUUAUGCCAAUUUAUUUGGUUGGAGUACUAAGGGACGUUAUGCUUGUCCUUGUUGUGCUGCGCAAACAUGUUCGAAGUGGUUAUAUAAUGGGAAGAAGUUCUCUUAUAUGGGGGCAUCGUAGGUGGUUAGAUAGAAAUUAUAAAUUUAGAUUUCAGAGUACUCUAUUUGACGGUACUGAAGAGUUCAGAGAAGUUCAUUCGCAGACCAUUGGAUCUAAAAUCUUAUUCAUGUUGAAAGAUAUGAAUUUCAGUUAUGGGAAGAUGAAUCAACUGCCCAACAUGCAAACAAAGAGAAUAUCAAUGGAUGAAUCUGAUGAUGAAUCUGAUGAUGAAUCCGAUAAAGAUGAUGAUCUUAAUGAGGUAGACUUGUGGAAAAAAGGAAGUAUUUUUUUUGAGUUAUCUUAUUGGGAGUAUCACAUUUUACGACAAUCUUGUUGUCAUGCAUAUUGAGAAAAAUGUUUGCGAGAACAUCAUUGGGACAAUUUUAAAUGACGAUGGAAAAUCGAAAGACAAUCUUCAGAGUCAACUUGAUUUAGUUCACAUGGGAAUUCGGUGUGAUCUUCAUCCCCAAGUACUUUCAAAUGGGAAAUAUCGGUUGUCGCCUUCUAUUUUUCAAUGUCAAAGAAAGAGAAAGAAGUGUUUUGUAUGGUGUUGAAGGAUAUAAAGGUCCCAGAUACGUAUGUAUCAAAUAUAUCUCGAUGUGUGAGUCUUAAAGACUGAGGACUAUAUUCCUUAAAAUCACAUGAUUAUCAUAUCUUGAUGCAAGAUUUACUAUUAGUUGCUUUACGGUGUUGUAUGUCAAAAAAUGUGACGUCUUGUAUAAUUGAACUAUCCAAUAUAAUGAAAGCCAUUUGUGGCAAAGUUUUGGAUGUUCAAGAACUUGAGAAAGUAUAAGAUUGAGCCGAUUUGACUUUAUGCAAUUUGGAGAAGAUCUUCCUACCUUCCUUCUUCACUAUUAUGGUGCACUUGCUAAUCUAUCUCCCUCAUGAAGCAAUACUUGGUGGACCCGUUUUCUAUCGAUGGAUGUAUCCUAUAGAAAUGUGCUAAUUUAUUUGUAAAUUAAUAAUUCAUUCACCUCUAUGCCUUUAGCUACAACUUUUGAUAAUGUUGUAUAUCGUGUUUAGGUUUCUAUCCAAAUUGAAGUUUUAUUACCGUAAUAAGCGUUAUCCAGAAGGAUCAAUUGCUGAAGGUUACUUGGCAGAGGAGUGUAUGACUUUCUAUUCUAGAUAUUUAGAAGAUGUUGAAACAAGACUGAACAGACCAAGUAGUGAAGGUUACUUGGCAGAGGAGUGUAUGACUUUCUAUUCUAGAUAUUUAGAAGAUGUUGAAACAAGACUGAACAGAUCAAGUAGAAAUGUUGGGCUCACUGAUCAUAAUGGAGAACCAAUCAGCAAAGUUGAAAUUGCAGAAUUAGAUGAUAGAUCGUGGGUACAAGCAUAUUGAUAUGUUCUUUUUCACCAUGAUUCAAUGGAACCAUUACGCAAAUAAAAUGCCUAGAAGAAGAUUGCGAGAUCUAAGUAUUAUUCAAAAGACUCCAAAUUCGGAAGAAACAAAUAGUGAACAACAGACUGCUAUUGGAUCUUUUAAUGUUCCGAAUACACUUGACGAACUUGUAGAAAUUCAAACUGAAAGUGAUGGGACGCGCAGAGGUCGAGGACGUACACUACUUAAAGAUUUAUACGAGUUAAAUCUUGUCGAGCGUGUCAAAGCAUCUAGAAACAAUCUUGGUCAGCCUGUUGGAUCAGAAGCUCGACUUUUAGCAGGAUAUUUGGGUAUUAUAGCUCGAAAUGCCAAUAUGUUGCCUAUCAACUAUGAGUCAUGGCAUCAAAUGCCUGAUAGUAACAAAAGUCAAGCUCUCGAAAAUAUUAAGGAGAGGUUUGCUUUAGAGGUCUCGGAUAAUAAUUUGCUUUAGAUGUCUCAGAUAAUUAUGUCAAGAAGGCAUUGGGAAAAAGAUGGAGAGACCAUAAAAGUACUUUAAAGAAAGAAUAAUUUAAGACAAAAAUAGCACUCGAAGAGAAAUUAUGAAAUGUCCUGCCGGGAAUGUUGAGGUACCAAUGGGAAGAUAAUGUUAGAUUUUGGAAUUUAAAGAAAUGAGAGGAUCGUGAAUGAGUUGGAACAAGCAACAGGCAAAAACAGAAAUUCACUCACACAGCUGGAUCGAAAAGUUUUGCUUGUGUAGCUGAGGCCGAGGAACUAUUGUCUAGUCAAAAAGUUGGACGCCUUCAGCUUUUUGACAUUAUACAUAGGAAGAAAGAUGGAUCUCCUAUGACUUCUGAAGCUGCAGAAAUUAUUGAGAAACUAAAGGAUAAAAAGGCGAAGUAUGAAGCGAUUGCUUCGAGUGAUAGUUCUGUUCAUCUUGACGACAUUGAUAACCGGAUUAUUAUUGAAGUUUUGAGUCCUAAAAGGUAUGGCCGAGUUUGAUUUCAAGGAUAUUUUUUUAACCCAACCUAAUAUUUUGGAUCCAGCUCACAGCAAUACAUGCCUUCGGGGAGUUAGGCUCAAGCUGAAGUUUAGAGGUUAAGAGAACAGAUGGCACAGAUGCAAGCGAGCACAGAUGAAUGAAUUGCUCAACUUAAAGCGGAAGCUGAAAGAAAAUAUGAAGA